rnacentral:pre_miRNA from 1 species
CAGGAAUUGGAGGCUGCAGUGAGCUGUGACUGUGCCACUGUGCUCCAGCCUGGGUGAUAGAGGGAGACUCCAUCUCUUAAAUUAAUUAAUUAAUUUAUUUAUUUAUGAGAUGGAGUUUCUCUCUUGUUGCCCAGGCUGGAGCACAGUGGCACAGUCACAGCUCACUGCAGCCUCCAAUUCCUG